rnacentral:rRNA from 1 species
AUUGAACGCUGGCGGCAGGCCUAACGCAUGCAAGUCGAGCGGAUGAAGGGAGCUUGCUCCUGGAUUCAGCGGCGGACGGGUGAGUAAUGCCUAGGAAUCUGCCUGGUAGUGGGGGAUAACGUCCGGAAACGGGCGCUAAUACCGCAUACGUCCUGAGGGAGAAAGUGGGGGAUCUUCGGACCUCACGCUAUCAGAUGAGCCUAGGUCGGAUUAGCUAGUUGGUGGGGUAAAGGCCUACCAAGGCGACGAUCCGUAACUGGUCUGAGAGGAUGAUCAGUCACACUGGAACUGAGACACGGUCCAGACUCCUACGGGAGGCAGCAGUGGGGAAUAUUGGACAGUGGGCGAAAGCCUGAUCCAGCCAUGCCGCGUGUGUGAAGAAGGUCUUCGGAUUGUAAAGCACUUUAAGUUGGGAGGAAGGGCAGUAAGUUAAUACCUUGCUGUUUUGACGUUACCAACAGAAUAAGCACCGGCUAACUUCGU